AGGUGUGGUAGUUUCUUUCUGGCACAUGUGUUAAGUUUUCAAGUGGGUGUGACUCUACCAUAUACAUGUUAAGUAGCUAGCAAAAGCAUAAAGACUGAAAUAUCUCUCUUGAGUUUUUUUUGUAUCAGAUAUUGGCUCUCACAAUC
ensembl:snoRNA